rnacentral:rRNA from 1 species
UACAGAGGGGGCAAGCGUUGUUCGGAAUUACUGGGCGUAAAGGGCGCGUAGGCGGCCCGCUAAGUCGAACGUGAAAUCCCCGAGCUCAACUCGGGAACUGCGUCCGAUACUGGCGGGCUUGAAUCCGGGAGAGGGAUGCGGAAUUCCAGGUGUAGCGGUGAAAUGCGUAGAUAUCGAGAGGAACACCUGCGGCGAAGGCGGGUUGCUGGGCUGACACUGACGCUGAGGCGCGAAAGCUAGGGGAGCGAACGGG